rnacentral:rRNA from 1 species
UGGCUCAGAUUGAACGCUGGCGGAAUGCUUUACACAUGCAAGUCGAACGGUAGAGGGGGCAACCCUUGAGAGUGGCGAACGGGUGAGUAAUAUAUCGGAACGUGCCCAGUCGUGGGGGAUAACGUAGCGAAAGCUACGCUAAUACCGCAUACGAUCUACGGAUGAAAGCGGGGGAUCGCAAGACCUCGCGCGAUUGGAGCGGCCGAUAUCAGAUUAGGUAGUUGGUGAGGUAAAGGCUCACCAAGCCGACGAUCUGUAGCUGGUCUGAGAGGACGACCAGCCACACUGGGACUGAGACACGGCCCAGACUCCUACGGGAGGCAGCAGUGGGAAUUUUGGACAAUGGGCGCAAGCCUGAUCCAGCAAUGCCGCGUGCAGGAUGAAGGCCUUCGGGUUGUAAACUGCUUUUGUACGGAACGAAACGGCGAGCUCUAAUACAGUUUGCUAAUGACGGUACCGUAAGAAUAAGCACCGGCUAACUACGUG